rnacentral:rRNA from 1 species
CAUAUGCUUGUCUCAAAGAUUAAGCCAUGCAUGUCUAAGUACAAGCCAUAUUAUGGUGAAACCGCGAAUGGCUCAUUAAAUCACACCUAAUCUACUGGAAUGUUAGCAGUUACUUGGAUAACUGAGGUAAUUCUUGAGCUAAUACAUGCGAAAAAUCCCGACUCACGAAGGGAUGCUUUUAUUAGAUCAAAACCAAACAGCUUCGGCUGUAACACUGGUGACUCUGAAUAACUUUGGGCUGAUCGCAUUGCCUUGAGCAGGCGACAUUUCCUUCGAAGGUGUGCCCUAUCAACUGUCGACUGUGAUAUAGACGCUCACAGUGGUUUUGACGGGUAACGGGGAAUCAGGGUUCGAUUCCGGAGAGGGAGCC